UACGAAGGGGGCUAGCGUUGUUCGGAUUUACUGGGCGUAAAGCGCACGUAGGCGGAUCGUUAAGUCAGGGGUGAAAUCCCGGGGCUCAACUCCAGAACUGCCUUUGAUACUGAGGAUCUUGAGUUCGGGAGAGGUGAGUGGAACUGCGAGUGUAGAGGUGAAAUUCGUAGAUAUUCGCAAGAACACCAGUGGCGAAGGCGGCUCACUGGCCCGAUACUGACGCUGAGGCACGAAAGCGUGGGGAGCAAACAGG
rnacentral:rRNA from 1 species